rnacentral:lncRNA from 1 species
CGAGAGUCGAGAGUAAAAGUCGAGAGUCGAGAGUAAAAAGUCGAGAGUAAAAAGUCGAGAGUAAAAAGUCGAGAGUAAAAAGUCGAGAAUCGAUCGAGAGUAAAAAGUCGAGAGUCGGCAAAUGUCAUCAGAAACAACAAAGUCAAAAUACUUUUAACACAAUAUAUAACCGAUCCGUAACAACGGCUGAUUAUAGCCGUACGGGCGAG